AACACGGGAUUUGCCUCAGUAACGGCGAGGAAGCGGCAACAGCUCAAAUUUGAAAUCUGGCUCACGCCCGAGUUGUAUUUGUAGAGGAUGCUUCGGGUGAAGCCGCGGUCCAAGUCCCUUGGAACAGGACGUCAUAGAGGGUGAGAACCCCGUACCUGGCCCCCGGUGCCCCCCGCUGUGAAGCUCCUUCGACGAGUCGAGUUGUUUGGGAAUGCAGCUCUAAAUUGGUGGUAAAUUCCAUCUAAGGCUAAAUACCGGCCAGAGACCGAUAGCGCACAAGUAGAGUGAUCGAAAGAUGAAAAGCACUUUGAAAAGAGAGUUAAAAAGUACGUGAAAUUGUUGAAAGGGAAGCGCUU
rnacentral:rRNA from 1 species